CAAUAGCGUAUAUUAAAGUUGUUGCAGUUAAAAAGCUCGUAGUUGAAUUUCUGGCGGGCGCGCCGGUCUUCCAAGUGUUGUACUGGGCGCAGUCCGCCAUCCUUGUGGAGAGGGCUCGCAUUGAGUUGCGUAUCGGAUCUGCAUCAUUUACUGUGAAAAAAUUAGAGUGUUUAAAGCAGGCUGUCGCUUGAAUACAUUAGCAUGGAAUAAUAAGAUAGGACUUCGGUCUAUUUUGUUGGUUGCGAACCGAGGUAAUGAUUAAUAGGGAUAGUUGGGGGUAUUCAUAUUUAAUUGUCAGAGGUGAAAUUCUUGGAUUUAUGAAAGAUGAACAACUGCGAAAGCAUUUACCAAGGAUGUUUNCAUUAA
rnacentral:rRNA from 1 species